rnacentral:rRNA from 1 species
GAUCCUGGCUCAGGAUGAACGCUGGCGGCGUGCUUAACACAUGCAAGUCGAGCGAAGCGCUUAUGAAAGAUUCUUCGGAUGAAUUCAUUUGUGACUGAGCGGCGGACGGGUGAGUAACGCGUGGGUAACCUGCCUUAUACAGGGGGAUAACAGUUGGAAACGACUGCUAAUACCGCAUAAGCGCACAGUACCGCAUGGUACAGUGUGAAAAACUCCGGUGGUAUGAGAUGGACCCGCG